rnacentral:snoRNA from 1 species
AUAGUAUAUGAUGAUCAACAAGGGACUUAAUACUGAUUUUGUAUGAUGUCACCUUAAUAAUGAAUCUGAUUUUG